AAUUCUAUGACCCCCUGAAAAGGAAGUGGAUUCCCGUAGCUAAUAUGGUACAAGGUGUGGGAACGCUACGGCCUGUGUUCUGAGAGACACAAUAUAUGUGGCAGGCGGUCACUAUGGUUACAAGGGAAGCUGCACCUAUGAUAAGAUUCAGACCUACAGGGCAGACGUCAAUGAAUGGAGCAUAACAACGACCUGUCCUCAUCCAGAGUACGGCCUGUGCCUGGUGUCACUGCAUCCCAAGCUGUACCUGGUGGGUGGUCAGACCACCAUCACAGACUGUUACGAACCGGACAGAGAUGAGUGGCGCCAGCUGGCCAGGACAAUGAGAGGAGGAUGGAGUGUGGGCCCGUGGCCAUGAACGAGUCCCUGUACGUCACCGGGGCUACUCCUACUCCAAGGGCACCUACCUGCAGAGCGUGGAGAGGUACGACCCCGAACAGGACACCUGGGAGAUCGUGGGGAAUUUACCUCGGAGCGGCGCGGUCACAUGGAUGUGUCUGUGUUUACGGUGUUUAGAGAGAGAGAGAGAGACGAGAGAGAGAG